rnacentral:lncRNA from 1 species
GAAAAUUGGUUGAUGCGUAAGGCUGAUUCGGAAGAUAUAAUGAUCGAAGACUUCAAGGCUAUAAAGGCGAGCUAAUUUAACAAAAUUUCCUGCGAAGAGUAAUCUUGAAAAUAUUUGGAUGGUGAACACCAUGAGGAUGCGCUCAACCGAACAGAAUCAUAACGUUCCAUCCAAGUUGAAGGUUUAUCAUGGAAAACUCUUUGGUUUCUUACAAACUAGACUUCAACUAAGAGAGCUUUUACUGCGUUUACCCACAAAUUCAGUUGUUUUCUUCUUCACGGCUGAACCAGCAAGAAUUUGUGAUGUAAGAAGGCCAAGGGUUAAUUGGGUAAUUAGGUAAUAUUCUAGGUUAAUUCCCUUUUUACCCCAAUUGUAAUAGAAAUCUAUAAAUAGGAGUCUUCUCCUCUUAUACGAGGGAUAUUAUUCAUUCCAAUAAAAAAUCCAUAAUCUUGGUUCUUGGAGGAUUUCUCCUUGAGGUUACUUAGAUUACAUCAAAUUGAUACCAGCUUCACCGAUGAAGGGAGCUGUGACUGGCAAGAACACCUCCGGCAAGGGAGAGGAUGUAGUGCCGAAUGAAGAAGAGAUCCCAUCUCCACGCACUUCGACCGCCCGAUUGAUGGCCAUUGAAGAAAGCAUGAUAGAAGUGUUCGACCGAAUGGGAAAUCUUGAAGCCACCAUGGAACGACUUGCUCGCCAGCUUGAAGUGGCGUUGACUGCCCUUCCCCAGCAGCAAGAAAUCAGCAAUAGAAACCACCAAGAAGUUCGGCGCAUUGCCAGCCGAAUUUCUGGCCAAGUAUGCCCCAAAGAACGUCAAAAUUUAGUCCAAGAUUGGGGGCAACGAGGCAUUCGAGGGGCUGGAGUACAUAGAGCUGGACGAAACCAUCAAGAAAGAAAGUUUGAAGUGCAAGAAAAGAGAAAACUAGUCCAAAAUUACCAAGAACCCCAUGUAAGAAUUCAAAAAUUCCGCCAAAUUCUUCAAGAAAAAAGGUUUGAAGCUCAAGAACAUAGGAGACCUAAUCAAAAGUACCAAAAAGUUUCCCCAAGAUUUCAAGAUUGCUUUCAAGAUUUUGCAAGAACGACUCAACAUGUAGAUCAACCAUCAAUUUAUUUGCAAGAGUCCAAGAACAAAUUUGUUUCAUACAUGAAAGAAAAAACAAAAGAAUCACAGUUGGAAAAUUUUCAAAUAGAAAAUCUUGAAGAUAAAAUUGAAGAACAAGAUCUUGAAAACGCUGAUUUGGAAAUGGUCACAAGUGAAGAAAAAUCCAAUGAAGAAGAUAAAAAAGAAGUAUCGAACACCGAGCAAAAAUCGAACAAGAACAAAAAUCGAGUAAGAAGGCUAAGGGUUAAUUGGGUAAUUAGGUAACAUUCUAGGUUAAUUCCCUUUUUACCCCAAUUGUAAUA